UUGGCAACACCGAAUGAAGUGUCAAAAAUUCGCUAGCGACGGGAGGUCGCGUAAUUUCAUUUUCAGUAAAGAAAACAUGAAAAUAAAAUAAAAGUAGCUGGUGAAUUUGUGUUUCGUGCAUUUAUAAACUUUAAUUUAUAAGAGUGAAAUGGUAUGAAUUUGAGAAACUUGUCUAGGAAACACGAAAUAUAUCAAAAUGGCCAAAGAAAUGAUGAUAGUGUUUGUGUACGACACACAGUGUUGUACAGCUGAGGAGGACGAUCCUGUGGAUGCAGUGCUGUAUUUCCACCCGGGAUGGGUCUCGGACACACAGAGGCACGCUUUGGCAGGACAGGUGGUGGGUACAGCACACUGCGUCAAGUCUCUGUUCUCCCAACCUGUGGCCAUCACGCUGCAGAGCGGCAAGUUCAUCAUCAGGGAAUACGGGCGGUACAUAUUGGCCAUAGGCAGCGACCGCAACAUCCCCGACUGGGUACUAAAAAACCGGGCGAACCUCCUCACAUCCAUGAUCAAGGUCUACCAUGGAGACCUUCUAGCCCUUGCCUCCCAGAUGGAAGACCAGAAACGCCUGGCCGAGAAGCUGUAUCAGGUCUUCGAGACGUACUUGCCAGUACUGCAGUAUGGAUGUCAUAUCUUCCAGAGAGUGCCAAUGCUCAGUCUUCCUAAGAGUGCCACAUCGAUCUACAUGGAAGCCAUGCAGAUACUGGAACACUGCCGCAAAAGUAAAGGAGUCCUUGGAGGCGUUGUAUUGUACAAUAAUAAAAUAAUCGCCACGCAACUGCCUCCAAGCCUGACUUCAUACCUCACAGUGGUGGACCCGUACCGAAUAAAGUCUCCAGCAGAGACCGUUCAAACUGAGACGCCCUUGCCUCUAGGUGCUCAGCUAUUGGUGGUUUAUGUCGCGAAGAAGACGUACGAUAGCUUGAAGAAGCAGGUGGAAAAGAUACAGGAGUUCCACCACAGUGGGGAGGAGAUGAUGGCAAAGUUUAGAAAGAAUCAAGAGGCCGAACGCGAAAAAGUAAGAGAGUUCCCCCAAACAGGCAUGAAAAGAGACAAGUCUUUGCUUUUCACUGCCGUGCCCGAAGAAGACCACACCAUGAUAUCCCCUCCUAACAAAGACGAACACCCCAUGACUGACUCCGAAAGAAAACCGAGCAUGCCCGACGUCGUUCCCUUCACGAAUAAACCGCGACCACGACCGACCAAGCUCUCACUAAGCUUCAAAAACCAAAAAUCAUUAGACGAAGACGCAAAAGAAAACGACACCGUCUUCACAGGACAAACCAGCGUUUGCUCCACACCCAUGGUAGAAUACAAACGACUCCACGGAAACAUCCUUUCCAUCUGCCAAAACCCAGACACGCAACAAGAAAAGCCCCCAGAACCAGACGUGCUCAAAAACAUCGAAAACUGUGCCAAAAUGAUCGAAAACGAGAAACGAGACAACCAAAUCGUUCUUGACAUGAACUGCAUUGCGGAUCACUACAUAAAUAAACCAGACCCGAUCAGGAAACUCGCGAGUGUUACGGAUAUCCAAGAUACGUUUAAAAGAAUUUCCAACAGAGCGACAUCCAGGUUUAAAUUAAAACGAUCGAAAGUGCCUCUCAACGAUGAUAUGACGCCGUCCCCAGACGAGGAUGGAAUAAUGAAAAGCCGUCGGUCUUCGUUGACAAUCAACGAUCCCUUCUUCCCAGUAUUCAGAAAUGACGGCGUUGCCAUCUCAGAAUCUUUAUUCAACCAGUAUCUAGAACAAUACUACGCCAGAAUGAAGCAAGAAUCCAAAGAAGACAACAUGUUCACUUUCAACAUGAAAUUAUGUGAGCAGGAGAAGUUCGAAGACUUCGAUUCGGAGCUGAAUAGGUCUCCGCAAAGAACGCCAAAGAAGAUUCCCAAAGAUUCGACGAAAACGUUAUCAACGGAUCAGUCCAGGCGAAAAUCGCUUUCGCUGCCUCUGAAAUCGUUAUCGGAAAGUACAGAUUCGCAGAUUGGGUCGGAAACUGAGGCUACUAGUUUUAAGAAGAAACUGACGGGAGUUCAGCUGACUCCCUUGAUGGAGAAACUGAGUCAUUUAGCGUUCUCGGACAAGUCGAGUGGAUACAGCAGUAGAGUGAUGACGCCGCUUGAACUGAGGGAGUUUCCGACGCCAGCCGCUGAACGACAAGUCACAUUCUCUGACAGACCAAAAACCCAGCGGCAAGACUCAGAAUCGGACAGCGAUUCAGAGGACGACAUAGAUCAGCUCGCGUCAUACAGCCAGAAUGCUGUGAAGUGCUCGCUGUUUGUGAGCGGGCUACACAAUAUGGCGCUGCUAGCGGUGCUUGACGCGCCCGCGGCGGAUGACCCAGAGACGAUCAACACGCUGUGGGAAACUUCUCUGAACGCGCUCGGGCCGAUCGAGCAGAAGUGCAUAGAGCCAUUAGGCGCUGGUCCCGAAGCGGCCGACUACAGCUACCUGACGUUAGACCCGGACUGGGGCACGGUCAAAAAGGGCGGGCCUUGGGCAGCGCUCGAUAUCGCUACCAUGGGACUGAUACACAACGAGUUCGCUGAAGACAGGGAACUGACGGAAUUUAUUUUGAGGAGCGACGAGAGCGUCGUAGUAGGCGUGUCGUGCGGCGGCGCACAAGUGUACUACCAAGAAGCAGGCGCGCGCGCCGCCGGGCCUCCCGCGCCGUCUGACGCGCUCGCCGCCGCUCCGUUGCGCGCGCGCCGCCGUUUGCACCGCGACCACGCGACGCUGCUGCUCUAAGUUGAUACUUGACCACUCAUUAUAAGGUCUAGUUUCCUCUGCAGGAGUACGACUAUCUAAUUUACCAGACACCUGUAUCGUGACCACGCCACGAUGCUGCUCUAAGAUAACAUUCUUCACCACUAUCAGAGCUGGAGAACAAGCGUCUAAUUUGCCCGAGACAUCUGCAUCAUGACAUCGCUACUCUGCUGCUCUAAGUUCAGACUUGACCACUUAUUAUUAGGUCCAGGAGUACGACCCUCGUAAUUUACAAAAGUUACCACGCUAUAAGAUAACAACUCAACUCUUCGUUGUUCAGAGGAGCAAGAUCCUGUCCAAUUUACCAGAGACGCCUGCAUCACACCACGCUACUCUGCUGCUCUAAGUUGAUACUUAGCCGGUCAUCAUUAGGUCCAAUUUCCUCUGUAGGAGCACGUGACUAAUUUACCAGACGACUGCUGCAUCGCGACCAUGCCACGCUGCUUGCUCUAACAACUCAACUUUUCGUCGUCAUAAGGUCAUUCAGAGGAGCAAGAAUCUAAAUACCUGGACACUCAUCAUUAGGUCCAGUUUCCGCUGCAGGAGAAGCACCAUGAUCAGGUCCAUUAGUUCCUGCUGCAGGAGUACGACCCUCUAAUUUAGAGGUGACUUCAGUCACCACUGCAAAGAAGACCCCCUCUAAUUUACCUGAGGCGCCUUGCUUCGUGACCACGCCACAAGC